rnacentral:lncRNA from 1 species
AGAAAAACUUUGAUUAAACAUUCUCUUUUUUCCCAUUUUCCACCAGGUCUUUGCUUUGUAGGAAAGAUGGGCAGCGAUCUGUCACAUAGGUUGACUUUGAGAUAAGCAUUGCCGGUGGAUUCUGAGAACAAAAGCAUUCUGCUGUUUUCUAUCAAUUAUUGCGAACUCUCAAAAGACCAAGAGAACAACAGACAGAGGAAAUGAAAAAGGAGAGGAAUCGUUGACAUUUCAACAUUCUGUAUAAUCUUUGAAGAUCAAAUUAGAAGCUUAAUGUACUGUACCACGUGAGUACCUGGCAGCUUAGGAUAGCGGAAAGAACAUUAGGAAGGAAAGGAGGAAGGGAGUAAGUGUUGCCAUACUACCUGUUAUGUGCCAGACACUGUGCUAAGGAGAGUGAUGAGACCUGGUAUGUAGAACCAGCUUUGUUCUUAACUCAUCAUGUGAUGGUAUACCAAUUAGCUAUCUUCUCUGGGA